rnacentral:piRNA from 1 species
UUGGGAACGUGUACUAACAUCAGCUCCUCU